rnacentral:rRNA from 1 species
UACGUAGGGUGCAAGCGUUGUCCGGAUUUAUUGGGCGUAAAGAGCGUGUAGGCGGCCAGGUAGGUCCGUUGUGAAAACUCGAGGCUCAACCUCGAGACGUCGGCGGAAACCAUCUGGCUAGAGUCCGGAAGAGGAGAGUGGAAUUCCUGGUGUAGCGGUGAAAUGCGCAGAUAUCAGGAAGAACACCCGUGGCGAAGGCGGCUCUCUGGGACGGUACUGACGCUGAGACGCGAAAGCGUGGGGAGCAAACAGG